AGAGAGCAAAGAGAGCAAAGAGAGCAAAGAGAGCAAAGCCGACGCCUCUGCGGUUGCUCAC
rnacentral:ribozyme from 1 species